rnacentral:rRNA from 1 species
GACGAACGCUGGCGGCGUGCUUAACACAUGCAAGUCGAACGAUGAUGCUCCAGCUUGCUGGGGUGGAUUAGUGGCGAACGGGUGAGUAACACGUGAGUAACCUGCCCUUCACUUUGGGAUAAGCCUUGGAAACGGGGUCUAAUACCGAGUAUUCACAUUCUGUCGCAUGGUGGUUUGUGGAAAGCUUUUGUGGUGGAGGAUGGACUCGCGGCCUAUCAGCUUGAUGGUGGGGUAGUGGCCUACCAUGGCUUUGACGGGUAGCCGGCCUGAGAGGGUGACCGGCCACACUGGGACUGAGACACGGCCCAGACUCCUACGGGAGGCAGCAGUGGGGAAUAUUGCACAAUGGGCGAAAGCCUGAUGCAGCGACGCCGCGUGGGGGAUGAAGGCCUUCGGGUUGUAAACUCCUUUCAGCAGGGACGAAGCUUUUGUGACGGUA